rnacentral:rRNA from 1 species
UACGUAGGGUGCAAGCGUUGUCCGGAAUUAUUGGGCGUAAAGAGCUCGUAGGCGGUUUGUCGCGUCUGCUGUGAAAACUCGGGGCUUAACCCCGGGCCUGCAGUGGGUACGGGCAGACUAGAGUGCGGUAGGGGAGACUGGAAUUCCUGGUGUAGCGGUGAAAUGCGCAGAUAUCAGGAGGAACACCGGUGGCGAAGGCGGGUCUCUGGGCCGUAACUGACGCUCAGGAGCGAAAGCGUGGGGAGCGAACAGG